GGGGCUGAUUCUGGAUUCGACGGGAUUUGCGAAACCCAAGGUGCAUGCCGAGGGGCGGUUGGCCUCGUAAAAAGCCGCAAAAAAAUAGUCGCAAACGACGAAAACUACGCUUUAGCAGCUUAAUAACCUGCUUAGAGCCCUCUCUCCCUAGCCUCCGCUCUUAGGACGGGGAUCAAGAGAGGUCAAACCCAAAAGAGAUCGCGCGGAUGCCCUGCCUGGGGUUGAAGCGUUAAAACGAAUCAGGCUAGUCUGGUAGUGGCGUGUCCGUCCGCAGGUGCCAGGCGAAUGUAAAGACUGACUAAGCAUGUAGUACCGAGGAUGUAGGAAUUUCGGACGGGGGUUCAAAUCCCCCCAGCUCCACCA
rnacentral:tmRNA from 1 species